ensembl:lncRNA
AUUUGAUUUAGUUUCCCCAAUGGCAAAUAUAAAUCUGGCAAAGACUUCCAUAAUUCUCAUUGAUUUAGUUGAAUACCCGGUCUCAGAAAUUAUGCAAAAUGUCAGAGGUAUGCUGUCAGCAUAGCAACACCGUAAGAUCCCCUGUCUCUCGUUGCUCUGUCUGGAAGAUAAUAAUAAACGUGGAUAUUUUAAGUGUCUACAAUGUUUGUCAUUCUGUGCGGACUUAUGUGCAGCUUGGUGGGGAAACUUGGCAGCCUUAAUUGUACAGUAUUGCAGAGCUCUUUGUCAUAGAAACGUCAGUAGGAGGGACAGGAGAGAAGGGUGCAGACUUGUAAAAAUAUAUAUUAUUUUAAAUAUAACUCGAUUUUAAGAAGCCCAUUUACCAGCAGUUGAAGUGAAGCCUUUGUUUGCAGCAAUUUCUCAAAUGUUUUUUGCAGCGAUACGCCAUCCCAUCUGGUUUGGGCUUAUCAUUUGUUUUUCAACAGGACAAUGACCCAACAUACCUCCAGGCUGUGUAAGGGCUAUUUUACCGAGAAGGAGAGUGAUUGAGUGCUGCAUCAGAUGACCUGGCCUCCAAUCACCAGACCUCAAUCCAAUUUCGAUGGUUUGGGAUGAGUUGGACCACAGAGUGAAGGAAAAGCAGCCCAAAAGUGCUCAGCAUAUUAUGUGGGAACUCCUUCAAGACUGUUGGGAAAAGCAUUCCAGGAAUGAGCUUGAGAAGUAUGCUGCAGCUGAGGAAGUAAAGACAAAGGUAUUGUUAUGGCAACAUGAUGAGUUGAUUAACUGGCAGUAUAAGGCAGUACAUUGUGUUUAAUCCUCUGAUAGUUAAAUUAUAUAUAUUUGUUCACCUAAGAUCAAUUGCAAUUGUUUUCUUUUUGAAAAAUCUUUUCAAUUAUCCUACCAUUUUUCUCUCAGGGCACAGAAAGAUAUUGAAAAUGAAUACAAACAUAAUGCAUUUGGUACUCAUUAGCACAUGAAUGAAAUCAUGUUUUUGAAUAUUUUACCAGCCAUGUUAGAAAUUUCCUUUGGGGGACAUUAUACAUUAACUUUGCAAACAAAUUCCCC